rnacentral:rRNA from 1 species
GAUGAACGCUAGCUCCAGGCUUAACACAUGCAAGUCGAGGGGAAACGACAUCGAAAGCUUGCUUUUGAUGGGCGUCGACCGGCGCACGGGUGAGUAACGCGUAUCCAACCUGCCCACCACUUGGGGAUAACCUUGCGAAAGUAAGACUAAUACCCAAUGACGUCUCUAGAAGACAUCUGAAAGAGAUUAAAGAUUUAUCGGUGAUGGAUGGGGAUGCGUCUGAUUAGCUUGUUGGCGGGGUAACGGCCCACCAAGGCGACGAUCAGUAGGGGUUCUGAGAGGAAGGUCCCCCACAUUGGAACUGAGACACGGUCCAAACUCCUACGGGAGGCAGCAGUGAGGAAUAUUGGUCAAUGGACGAGAGUCUGAACCAGCCAAGUAGCGUGCAGGAUGACGGCCCUAUGGGGUGUAAACUGCUUUUAUAAGGGAAUAAAGUGAGUCUCGUGAGACUUUUUGCAUGUACCUUAUGAAUAAGGACCGGCUAAUUCCGU